UUUCCGUAGGUGAACCUGCGGAAGGAUCAUUAACACGUUUCCAACGUUAAACAAACCCCAUCUGUUUUCGGAUAGAUGGGCACCAAACAACCAUAGCCCCUUUACGGGGGCCUGCGUAGUUAUGUGGUUUUGUCAAAAGACCAACACCGUUUCCAACCUCUCUUUCGGGAGAGGGAGGGCACCACGUUGAGGAGUACUUUCAUUGGGAGAUGUACCUUUGAGAGGAAACCACAUGUUGGCGAAGGUUGCGGACUUGAGACAUCCACAUUUUGUUAACCUUUCUUUCUUAAUUAUUUUUAUUGUUUUGAAAGAUGUCAUCUUGUAUGAUGUCUUUUAAUACAAACUCUGUACAACUCUUAGCAACGGAUGUCUUGGUUUCC
rnacentral:misc_RNA from 1 species